rnacentral:lncRNA from 1 species
CACAGAUCUCUCAUAUCCACACCAAUGAAGAAAGCAAAUCCAGGGCAAGCCACAUCCAAGGCAUCCCCUAUAGAUUUCCUGUUGGUCAUAGUGAAGGCUCACCACAUUCUACGUGACAGUUGUGACAAUGUGGCAAUGGAUACAUUCAUAAAUAGCCUGUGCAUAUGUGUGCACAGGUUCCCCAGGCCAAAGGCAGAAGACCUCUCCCAUCCCCCUGCCCCUCGCUCAAAGACUGUUUCCCCAGUGGAGCCUGGCAAGGCCUAAUGUGCCUCCCCCAGCAUGUUAACGUCCACCUGUGGUCAUCUCAGGGAGGAGAGAGGUGGGUGAGUAUAACAGGGAGGGUUGGGAGGUGGUGGCCAGGGU